UUCUUGCCCCCUCUCCUGUCUCAGGUAGAAGAAACAACAAAAAACAAUUAAUCUGAAUGGUAUUAAAAAUAUGAACAAAAAAGGACCACUCCUCUCAGCCUUCUCAGCAAAUAGCAUGUUCACAUGGAAGUUUCCAGAAAUUUCUUGCCCCCUCUCCUGUCUCAGGUAGAAGAAACAACAGAAAACAAUUAACAUGAAUGGUAUUAAAAAUAUGAAAAAAAAGGACCAGAACUGACUUCUUCUUGUCGAUGUCUGCGAUAUCACUCCUCCCAGCCUUUUCAGCAAAUAGUCUGUUCACAUGGAAGUUUUUUGAAUGACCGCAUCAUACAAAAGGAAGCAAACUAAAAUGAGCCAUCUCUCCUUUUUGAACAAAAAGAGAAUAAUCUUGUAACAAAUCUAUCAGGAUACUUCUCUUUGAUGUGUUUGGCCUCAGCCUGCCACCUUUCUGUAACACAUAGCACAAACAAUGCUCCAUUGACCCCGGAGAUGUUAGAGGGCUCCGCGGAGUCAACACUUGUUGCCGCGGUGACCUUUUUCCUGUUUUUCCUUUAGCUUGUAAUUAUGAACUUCUGUUCUAAUUGAAUGGCAAUCGACUGACUUUUCUUAAAAAAAAAUUGCACAAAUAAUCACAAGAAGAAAACAAAUGCAGAACUGCGAUACCAACUGACCCGCGAAACAAUCUCUGCCCAAGCAGUGACACCAGCGCAUCCACGGGCGGAGCGCCACCCGAAUAGACGGACCUGGCCAGGCGCCACCACCGGCAGCCCACAACCAAAACCA
rnacentral:lncRNA from 1 species